rnacentral:rRNA from 1 species
UGAGGAAUAUUGCGCAAUGGGCGAAAGCCUGACGCAGCGACGCCGCGUGGAGGAUGAAGGUCUUCGGAUUGUAAACUUCUGUUAAGUGGGAAAAAAUACGUAGGGUUAAUACCCCUAUAUGAUGAUGGUACUACUAGAGAAAGCACUGGCUAAUCUCGUGCCAGCAGCCGCGGUAAUACGAGAGGUGCAAGCGUUAUUCGGAAUCAUUGGGCGUAAAGGGUGCGCAGGCGGCACGUUAAGUCAAUUGUUUAAUUCCUCGGCCUAACCGAGGGUCAGCAGUAGAUACUGAUGUGCUAGAGUAUGGAAGAGAGGAGUGGAAUUCUCGGAGUAGCGGUAAAAUGCGUAGAUCUCGAGAGGAACACCGAUGGCGAAGGCAGCUCCUUGGUCCAUUACUGACGCUCAUGCACGAAAGCGUGGGGAGCAAACAGG